rnacentral:lncRNA from 10 species
AUCAGUUCCUCCAAACAGAAAUGCACAAAGGUAUUUAAUAAGGGCAAAUUAUUUUUAAAAUAAACGUUAAGUAUGGUCAGGACAGUGAAGCAAUCGCAUAUGCAUUUAAUUUCUGGGAAAACACGAAGAGUACAAACAACUAGCUAGGUUUAUAACUCAGAGGCAGAAACUUGUUUGAUGACAUCUAUUAAGCUUUGAUAGCCGCCUUUUCGAGGCCCUACCCUUCACCACUCCUACUAAUAGCUCCCCCUACUCUUAUCCCAGUACAAUCCAGCUGGUGAAGAGAACAGCGAAAGACUUUGGUCCUGGACUCAAAAAAUAUUUCCCCGACCGCGCUACUUCCUCCAACAGCACCAAGUCUAGCUCCAUCUCCGUCCCCUGCAGAUUCUAGGCUCCAUCUAUCUUUUCAAGUCUCCACCCUCCCUCCCCCACUCCCAGGCUCCACCUCCCCCGACCCUAUCCUUCAGGCGCGCCUCUCCUCUCUCGGACUUUCACAACCACCAGCGACAUCAAUCUCUCGCUUCCUGCUCCACUUCUCGGCGCCCACAUCUCCAACUGGCUCAGGCUCCCCAUGUCCCCAGCCGGUACGGAGCUGCGGUCAGCGGAUUGUGCGGCUGAGCCAUCCUCGUGACGGUCCCGCCUCACUCACCCUCCGUCACCUCCAGCACCUUAAUCUGUUCUUCAGCAGCCGCCCGCACCUCCUGUACUGGGGAUAGGAUCCCGGUGAGCGUAUCCACUAACGCUUCCUUUAAUCCUUGUGCCACUGGACCCGGCAGCCCGGAGGCCGCACCAGCUGCCGCCGCCGCCGCCAUCUUUUCUCCCCUCAGCCCGCCAGCCCCGCGGCCGGGACCCGCCACCGAAUGACGGCCCCCGCGCGCGGCCAAUCCGCGAAGCCGCGCCUGCGCACCAGAGGCGGGCGGGAGCGGGCGGAGGGCGGGGAAUGAAUCUAAGCCUCCAGAGACAGCGCCUCCUGCUGCCUGAACGAGAACUGCACCUUUCUCUGCAAGGAUCUCUGGAUUUGUGUGAAAACUGAGCCCCAGACAGGUUAAGGGGCUUUCCUAAAGUUGCACAGACACUUCAGAGCCAAAGAGGAAACGAAUCCCAUCUGUUCUGAGCCCCCAAGCACAGUUCAAGAGGACAGGCUGGGGAGUGGAGGAAGGGGCGGUGAAGAGAAAAAUAAGAAGACUGGAACAUCCAGCCACACACGGAGGGCAGGAAGCCACCUGAUGAGAGAGCCAGGGUGUGGCAGAAGUCGCCAAGGAAUCCUUCUGUUCCCGACACACGCCUACAGCACUCGCUCAAGAUGGAGCCUGCUGACUCUGUCUAAGGCCCUGUGGCCCUUGGCAUAGGUUUCAGGACAGCAGUCCUGUCAGGGCUGUGGACCUCACACCUCUAUGUAAUGUGAAGGGCACCCUCUGGAGUUGUGGGACUUGGCAGUAGUGUUACUGCACUGGCCUGCAAGUCCCCAUCCAUUACUGCCACCCAGCUCAGACACAGCUCACCCAUUCACAUACACAAAAAUGGACACAUUGAGAGGGAAACCCACAUUAAAGUAGGGAGAAGAUGGAGGGCCCUCUGACCUCCUCCCAUCAGGCACGUGUGCCUCCUCUACUCAGUGCCUGCAUCCACCUCUGUAUGGGUACCCAUCCUCUAUUCCCCUCCCACUCCAAUGGAUGCCAGGGAUGGAAGGACAGAUGGCUGUGAAACUUAUCUUCUUAUUUAGAUUAAAUUCCAGACUUUCCUAUUUUUAGAAAAACAAAUUCCUUUUGUAUUUCCAAGUGGUAAAAAUGGCCCGAGCUGUCAUCUAGGACAGUCAGCAGCCAACUCAAAGUUGUCUGCAGUGUCAUGAUUUGGAUAUUACCCUGGCGAGACUACUUCUAGUGUCAAGCGGGUGAUCAGUCUAGGUGCCAAAUUUUAAGAGGGUCAUUGACGUCCUGAGAGCUUCCAGAGGAGGGUGACCAGGACAAUGAAAGGUUCGAAAAACUGGGUCAUUGAAAAAAGUACUGAAAUAAGCUAGGGACUUUUUCUUUUUCUUUUUGGUCUAGAGAAUAUUUGAGCUAUAUUAAGAACAUGUUGAAAUAUUUGGAUGAAGAGUUACACCCUUAUUCUAUUUUUCCCAGAUGACAGAAUUUGAAUCAAUAGGUAGAAGUUACAGCGAAACAGAUUUCAGUUGAAUAUUUAGAAACUUUCUUAUAACUUAAUUCUGUAUGAUAUGGAAUAAGCUUCCCAUCACUGUGCCUAUGCAAGCCAAGGAUGAAAGACUGUCUGUCAGGGAUACUGUAGAUAAGAUUAUUGUACUAGAUAGGAACAUGGACUAGUCUAAAAUUACUGAGAAGCUUUAGAAAAAUGUGGCUUUCUGGGUAGCAGAGAUUCUGCAUUGGUAAGUCUGAGGCUUAGAAUUUGUAUUUCCAAAAAACCCCAUCAGCUAUAAAACUCUCAGAAGAAAACGUAGGGGAAAAGCUGCAUGGCGUUAGAUUUUGCAGUGAUUUCUUAGAUAUGACACUCAAAGCAUAGCCAACAAAAGAAAAAAACAGAUAAAAUGGAUUUCAUCUAAAUAAAAAGCUUUUGUGCAUCAAAGGAUACAUCUACAGAAUGAAAAGGAAACCCAAUACACAGAAUGAAAGAAAAUAUCUCCAAAUCAUACAUGUGAUAAAAGGUUCAUAUCUAGCAUAUAUAAAGAACUCUUAACACUCAAAAAGAAAUUAAACAACACAAUUUAAAAAUGGGCAAAGGACUUGAAUAGAUAUCUCUCCAAAGAAGAUGUACAAAUAGCUAAUAAGUACAUAAAGCUGCUCCAUAUUACUAAUCACUACAGAAAUCAAAACCACAAUGAGAUAACCACUUCGCCUCCAUCAGGAUGGGUUUUUUCUUUUUUUGAGUUGGAGUCUCGCUCUGUCGCCCAGGCUGGAGUGCAGUGGUGCAAUCUCGACUCUCUGCAACCUCCGCCUCCUGGGUUAAAGCAAUUCUCCUGUGUCAGCCUCCCGAAUAGCUGGUAUUACAGGCACGCACCACCACGCCAGCUAGUUUUUGUAGUUUUGGUAGAGAUGGGGUUUCACCCCACACCAGUUGGCCGGACUGGUCUCCAACUCCUGACCUCAAGUGAUCUACCCAACCCAGCCUCCCAAAGUGCUGGGAUUACAGGUGUGAGCCACCGCGCCUGGCCAGGAUGGCUACUAUAAAUACAAACAAAACAGAAAAUAGUAAAUGUUGGGGAGAAUUCGGAGAAAUUAGAACCCUCAUUCAUUGCUGGUAGAAAUAUCAAAUGGUGCAGCCAUUGUGGAAAACGGUAUGGUGGUUCCUCAAAACAAACAAACAAACAAACAAACAAAAAACACAUAGAAUUACCAUAUGAUACAGCAAUUCCAUUUCCAGGUAUAUACCCAAAAAGAACCGAAAGCAGGGACUUGAAUAAUAUUUGGACACUAAUUUUCAGAGCAACAUUCUUCACAAUAGCCAAAAGGUGGUAACAACCCAUGAACAGAUGAAUGGGUAAACAAAAUGUGGCGUAUACCUACAACAGAAUAGAGUUCAACCUGAAAAAAGAAUGAAAUUCUAACGCUACAACAUAAAUGCUCCCUGAUGACAUUAUGCUAAGUAAAUAAGCCAGUCAUUAAACAACAACAACAACAAAGACUGUAUGAUUCCACUUAUAUGGGUUACCUAGAGUAGUCAAAUUCAUAGAGACGAAAAGUAGAAUGGUGGCUCCCAGGAGCUGAAGGGAGGAGGAAAGGGUAGCUACUGUUUAAUGGGUACAGUUUCUCUUUGGGGAGAAGACAGAAUUCUGGAGAUGGACGUGAUGAUGGUUACACAGCAGUGUGAAUGUACUGAAUGCCACUAAACUGUACACUUUAAAAUGGUUAACAUAAAAUGGUAAAUUUUAUGUUAUAUAUAUAUAACCACAAUUUUUAAAAAUAAAUCCUUUUUAAAAAACAUGUAUGAUUAUUCUGGUAGCAGCAUCAGAGUCACUUUCUUCCUUCUAGUUUGCUGACUUCAGUUUGAAGAAUUUGCCUUCUUUGGUUUGCUGACUAAUGACCUGAAAGGGGCCUGGUCACUGGAGGGAGUAGGGAGAGCUGACUUGAGACUGAACAGGGGCUUGGGAAGAGCCGUCAAAGGGAUGAUCCCCCCGCAGAUAAACAGAGUGUGGAGAAAGCGCCAGAAUUACUGUCAUCUUUUAUGGCUCACUCGGAUAGCUUGGAGCCGAUUAUGUCACCCAGUGGGGAAAGAUCAGCUUUUCUGCUGGCCCAGUGCUGGGAGCUCUUGG